rnacentral:tRNA from 1 species
GCUUCCAUAGCUCAGCAGGUAGAGCACUUCCAUGGUAAGGAAGAGGUCAUCGGUUCGAAUCCGAUUGGGAGCU